rnacentral:rRNA from 1 species
CCUGGCUCAGGAUGAACGCUAGCUACAGGCUUAACACAUGCAAGUCGAGGGGCAUCACGGGGGCUGCCUGCAGUCCCUGGUGGCGACCGGCGCACGGGUGAGUAACGCGUAUCCAACCUGCCCGCAACCGCGGAAUAGCCCGCCGAAAGGCGGAUUAAUGCCGCAUGAGCUCGCGCGAGGGCAUCAUUUCGCGAGCAAAGGUUUAUUCCGGUUGCGGAUGGGGAUGCGUCCGAUUAGGCAGCAGGCGGGGCAACGGCCCACCUGGCCAUCGAUCGGUAGGGGUUCUGAGAGGAAGGUCCCCCACAUUGGAACUGAGACACGGUCCAAACUCCUACGGGAGGCAGCAGUGAGGAAUAUUGGUCAAUGGGCGUGAGCCUGAACCAGCCAAGUAGCGUGUGGGAUGACGGCCCUACGGGUUGUAAACCACUUUUGCGCGGGGAUAACCGGCGGCACGUGUGCCGCCCUGCAGGUACCGCGUGAAUAAGGACCGGCUAAUUCCGUGCC